GAUGAGAACGCAGCUCUAGGCCGGUCUGGAAAGGCAGCACAGUUGGGCCCAAGUGGCCCAACUCCCUGGAGGAGAGGACGGGCUCUGAAGACUCUUCCGGCUGCCCCUGAAACCCUGAAACCGCUUAGUUGUUUUUCUGGUUGACUAGCUGCUGCACGCAACUGUCAGCUGCUUGUGAACUGUGUGACGCCAGUUCGCGCUCCUGUUUGUUUUCUAAAAGGCACUGCCCUGAUUUUUUUUUAACGACUAAAUAAUAAUAAUCAUUGCAGUCUCCCUCUCCUGAGGUGUUCCUUGAUGUCUCUAGGGUGCUAGGGCUGGGCCAGCAUCUUUUCCUGCAAUUUUUUUAUCCUCCCAUGGACAGCAGGGAGAACACAGGCUGCACCAGGCUGUUACACCAGGCCUCCCCGCUGGGAUAAAUGCAGCUUGUUUCAAAAGUGAAGGAAGGAAGGAGAGAGCGGAGAGGACAUCAAUCCCCUCCUUCCCAAAGGUUGCACCUACCAGCGACAGUGAGCCUAAUGACAAAGUCAACAAUUGUUCAGAAGACCUGCAUUCACCAGAAAGAAUCUUUUUACCAAUAUUCAGAUGAUCAAAUUUUAAAAUUCAGCACGGACUGAGUUUUUAUACAUUCUGCACACUCCAAAACAGGGGAAGACCACCACAGCGUGCACAGGAGGAAAAAAGUCAGACUGUGCAAUCAUUAUGCAAUAAUGCAUUAAUAAUAUAUGGUUUAUUGAACCAAAAAAGACUUUGGCCAAACUCCCAGGUACUUUUCAUAAAAUAAUUUCCAUGACUUGAUUUGCCUGUGAAGAGUGGAACACAUUAUCCCACGUUUACUUGGGGAUGGAGAGGUUGGUACCAGUCCAAGGACUGAUACGGUGGCCCUGUACAUGUCUCUGCACCUCUCCAAAGUUCUCAGCUCCUCCCCACUAGAGUGUGGAUAGCUGUGGGAAUGAGCCCAAGAGCCUGAUUAUGUUCCACAGAAUGAAUUUCUAUGUCCUUGAGCUCUUCCCAGCAACAUGCAUGGGAUUCCCUUUGACUGCUGCAGAAACUUAGCUCUUAGGAAAAGGGAAUGGGAUGGCUUCUGUUUUCCAUCGAAUGGUUGUACGAUGAGUGCCCAGGGGAAACUAUAGGAGAAGCAAUGAGAUAUUUCCUGGUUACUUUAUCCAAUGAUACAGUCCUAAGGCUAACGAGGACCACAGGGCUGACUUUCAGAGGACCACAUGUGAC
rnacentral:lncRNA from 1 species